AACGCUGGCGGCGUGCCUAAUACAUGCAAGUCGAACGCACUGACAGAGAAACUUGUUUCUCUUGACGUGAGUGGCGCACGGGUGAGUAACACGUGGGAAACCUACCCUUCAGCGGGGGAUAACCGUCGGAAACGAUGGCUAAUACCGCAUAGGUCUUUUAACCGCCUGGUUGAAAGAGGAAAGACGGCUUCGGCUGUCACUGAAGGAUGGUCCCGCGGUGCAUUAGCUAGUUGGUAAGGUAACGGCUUACCAAGGCGAUGAUGCAUAGCCGACCUGAGAGGGUGAUCGGCCACAUUGGGACUGAGACACGGCCCAAACUCCUACGGGAGGCAGCAGUAGGGAAUCUUCCGCAAUGGACGAAAGUCUGACGGAGCAACGCCGCGUGUGUGAAGAAGGUCUUCGGAUCGUAAAGCACUGUUAUUAGAGAAAAACAACCGGUAGAGUAACUGUUACCGGCUUGACGGUAUCUAACCAGAAAGCCACGGCUAACUACGUGCCAGCAGCCGCGGUAAUACGUAGGUGGCAAGCGUUGUCCGGAUUUAUUGGGCGUAAAGGGAGCGCAGGCGGUGACUUAAGUCUGAUGUGAAAGCCCACGGCUCAACCGUGGAAGGUCAUUGGAAACUGGGUCACUUGAGUGCAGAAGAGGAAAGUGGAAUUCCAUGUGUAGCGGUGAAAUGCGUAGAUAUAUGGAGGAACACCAGUGGCGAAGGCGACUUUCUGGUCUGUAACUGACGCUGAGGCUCGAAAGCGUGGGGAGCAAACAGGAUUAGAUACCCUGAUAGUCCACGCCGUAAACGAUGAGUGCUAAGUGUUGGAGGGUUUCCACCCUUCAGUGCUGGAGUUAACGCAAUAAGCACUCCGCCUGGGGAGUACGGUCGCAGACUGAAACUCAAAGGAAUUGACGGG
rnacentral:rRNA from 1 species